rnacentral:rRNA from 1 species
GCCCAGACUCCUACGGGAGGCAGCAGUGGGGAAUAUUGCACAAUGGGGGAAACCCUGAUGCAGCAACGCCGCGUGAAGGAAGACGGUUUUCGGAUUGUAAACUUCUGUUCUUAGUGAAGAAUAAUGACGGUAGCUAAGGAGCAAGCCACGGCUAACUACGUGCCAGCAGCCGCGGUAAUACGUAUGGGGCAAGCGUUAUCCGGAUUUACUGGGUGUAAAGGGAGCGUAGACGGCUAAUCAAGUCAGAAGUGAAAACCCAGGGCUCAACCUUGGGAGUGCUUUUGAAACUGAGUAGCUAGAGUGCAGGAGAGGUAAGCGGAAUUCCUAGUGUAGCGGUGAAAUGCGUAGAUAUUAGGAGGAACACCAGUGGCGAAGGCGGCUUACUGGACUGUAACUGACGUUGAGGCUCGAAAGCGUGGGGAGCAAACAGGAUUAGAUACCCCAGUA